GAAGAAGCGAAAGUGACGGUACCUGCAGAAAAAGCGCCGGCUAACUACGUGCCAGCAGCCGCGGUAAUACGUAGGGCGCAAGCGUUAUCCGGAAUUAUUGGGCGUAAAGAGCUCGUAGGCGGUCUGUCGCGUCUGCUGUGAAAACCCGAGGCUCAACCUCGGGCCUGCAGUGGGUACGGGCAGACUAGAGUGCGGUAGGGGAGAUUGGAAUUCCUGGUGUAGCGGUGGAAUGCGCAGAUAUCAGGAGGAACACCGAUGGCGAAGGCAGAUCUCUGGGCCGUAACUGACGCUGAGGAGCGAAAGGGUGGGGAGCAAACAGGCUUAGAUACCCUGGUAGUCCACCCCGUAAACGUUGGGAACUAGUUGUGGGGGCCUUUCCACGGUCUCCGUGACGCAGCUAACGCAUUAAGUUCCCCGCCUGGGGAGUACGGCCGCAAGGCUAAAACUCAAAGGAAUUGACGGGGACCCGCACAAGCGGCGGAGCAUGCGGAUUAAUUCGAUGCAACGCGAAGAACCUUACCAAGGCUUGACAUAUAGAGGAAAGUUCUGGAAACAGUCCCCCCGCAAGGUCUCUAUACAGGUGGUGCAUGGUUGUCGUCAGCUCGUGUCGUGAGAUGUUGGGUUAAGUCCCGCAACGAGCGCAACCCUCGUUCUAUGUUGCCAGCACGUAAUGGUGGGAACUCAUGGGAUACUGCCGGGGUCAACUCGGAGGAAGGUGGGGAUGACGUCAAAUCAUCAUGCCCCUUAUGUCUUGGGCUUCACGCAUGCUACAAUGGCCGGUACAAAGGGCUGCAAUACCGUGAGGUGGAGCGAAUCCCAAAAAGCCGGUCCCAGUUCGGAUUG
rnacentral:rRNA from 1 species